ACAGGGCAUUACAAGUCAGGGUCCAAUAGGGAAAAUAGAAAUGGCUAGAUGUUUUACAGAGAUUGAACUUAAUUCAUGGAAUUGGCGAUAGAACAGCUGAGUGAAAAUAGGAGAUGACGAGGAAACCAGAGAUUAAGAAAAUCAGGAAGCCACAGGCUUCCUGAGGAUGGUAGGAACACCACCAACCCAAGGGCUAGGUCAUCCAAGGAAAACUGGGGCCACAGGGAGCCUGUCCAGCCUGUUUUGGAGCCAUGGAGGAGCUAAGCCUGAGGCAGAAAGAAAGGUAGAGAAUUACCCUGACCUUCCCCCCGACUCCCAUCCUCCAGUCUCUGUGAAACACAUGGUACGGUUUUGGCAUAAGAAGGGCAAGAAAAAGACUGAAGAACAAACAAGUCCAAAUCAGCAAAAGGCCUUAGAAGGAGCACUGUUUCAUUAAAAUGCACCUCACACCUCACCUACCAGACUUGAGCUUCAGGAGCGCAGAUUUCAGUGUCGGCACCUUGCAGCACUGCCACGUGUCACAAGGCCAGGGGAGACCCUCUCUGGGAGCAGAAGCAGCUACAGGCCUGAAGUGGAAACAUAGGUUAGAAGACUGAACCCAGAGAGGGCACAAUUGUGUCCCAGUUCCCCCAGCUAAAUGAUGGUGAUGGGAUUUGGCCUGAGGUCUCCGUGACUUCUCAUUAUUCUGCCACCUAGUUAUCCAUGGUGACCUGGUACUAGUGAAGACAGCUUCCCAGCUGUGAGCGAUCUAUGGACUAGAAAGCUAUGACUUUAAGAGAGAAGAGUCUUAAGCUGGAAUAUAGAAAUGCCUGCGGGUGGGUAGAGUGUAUGUGAGAACAAGCAGGGAAGAGUUCGGCUCCCUCCACCCCAGCAGUUCCAGGCUGUGCUCCCUACUGAGAACAGAGGAAGGUUGUCAGGACUAUUAACCUCAGCAAAUGUAAAUGGGGGCCCAGAUGCUCUCAUCUAAAAUAAAAUCCUCCCCAACAGA